rnacentral:tRNA from 1 species
GGGGGUUUAGCUCAGCGGUAGAGCACUUGCCUAGCAAGCGCAAGGCCCUGGGUUCGAUCCCCAGCUCCG